UACAAGAUGCAUUCGAGCAAUA
rnacentral:miRNA from 1 species